GGUUACCCACGAAGGAUGAGACUGUAAAGACGACCCAAAACUCCAAAAAAAUGACAAUUUGAAGCUUAAUUUUUGGUCUCUGCAUUAAAGAAUUCUUGACAGAUUUCAUUAAAAAGUCAAGAAUACAAUAAGUUGAAAAUGAA